UGGGAAAGAGCAGUGUAGGCCCUAGUCAACGACAGCCAACGAACGCACAGCAUCGACUACGAGAUGGUGAACUUGGCAAGCGGUUGCUACUACUCGCGUGGAUUUGGCACCGAAAUGUCCUGCUGCUUUUGCCGAAUCGAUUUUCCCGACCAAACAAA